GUGUGUCAGACCGUUUACUAAACACCAGGACUGUUGUAGGCGACUGUAAGAAAUAAGAAUAUUGCAUGGUUACAAUUCUUGAAUGCUUACCUUGUGUCUUGUUCCUUACUCUACAGAAAUUUUCUAAUCCCGUGGCGAACCCCCGUACUUCAACGUAUGACAUUCUGUAAAUCUACAAAACAGAUGGGUCCCUGCCUUUGAGAAGUUUUUACAAUUUAGUGGGUACUGGACACGGACCUAAUUUAAUUCUCACAUGCCUUCCCUUUCUAAUAAGCUGCAUGUUAUGUAUCCCUAUUCUACAGAUGUGGGGAAUCCGAAAUUUUUAGCUUUUACUGGGACACACAGCUAGCAAGCAACUAAAGCGAGAAUUCCAACCUGAGCUCCAAUCCGAACUAUUUUCAUAAAAGGCAGGAUCCCAGGCUGAGGGAGUUCGAGGUUUGGGAGACAGUUUAGCAGUCGCUGAGUCCAAACAUGUUGUUUUCCUAGAAAAGAAAACUGAGAUCCAGGAAAGGGAAGUGAUUUUCCAAAGACACACCUGUGAAAGCCGUGUUGAACCAUGAAAGGACCUCAGGAAUGAAACCCACACACAGCAAAGCAACAAAGUGAAAGAAGCGUGGAUUCCUAAUGCAGGAGGCACUGAACCAAUCAAUACCCACUGCCCUCCAGACCUCCACAUGAAAGAAAAAAACUGCUGUCCUGUGAAGAAGACACUCCCCAGAUGCCAGCAACUUGAUAUUGGACUUCCUGCCUUUAGAAACGUGAGAAAUAAAUUUUUUUUCUUUAUAAGUUA
rnacentral:lncRNA from 1 species